CCGACGGUGAGGGGUGAAAGCUGGGGGAGCAAACCGGAUUAGAUACCCGGGUAGUCCCAGCCGUAAACGAUGUGCGUUAGGUGUAUCGGUGACCACGAGUCACCGAGGUGCCGAAGAGAAAUCGUGAAACGUACCGCCUGGGAAGUACGGUCGCAAGGCUGAGACUUAAAGGAAUUGGCGGGGGAGCACCACAACAGGUGGAGCCUGCGGUUUAAUCGGACUCAACGCCGGGAAACUCACCAGAUAAGACAGCUGAAUGAUAGUCGGGCUGAAGACUCUACUUGACUAGCUGAGAGGAGGUGCAUGGCCGUCGUCAGUUCGUACUGUGAAGCAUCCUGUUAAGUC
rnacentral:rRNA from 1 species